AAAAACAUGUCCUUUGAAUAACCCAGCUGUAUUACUAGAAAUAAUGGUUAGUCUAGAUAGAAACUCUGCUUCUGUUAAUUCCUUCUGUACAUUUUUAAUGUUGUUGAUAGAAAAUAUUUAACUUUGUUGCAUAAUCAAGCAGGUAAAAUUGAAAUAAUCAUUAGUAAUAUUCAUUUUGAAUGUGAAUAGUGGUAUUCAACGUAAGUGAUUCUGUGAUAUGGGAAACAUAUAGUCAAAGAAGGACAGGAAUGUUUUUAGGGUGGGGAUAAUUUCCCCACUAAGAAAUUUGAAAGUACUUUCAUAUGAUUAGAGGUGGUCUCUAGACCAUUGCGUCACUGUGGUCAUUAACCAGUAUUUUCAGCUAAUAAAAACUUAAAUUACCAGAAAAAUACAGUUACUAUAGGGGCUACAACUAAGUCUUAAAUUUUUUUCUCUUAACUCCAUCUUGUUAAGGUGGUUCUAUACACUGACAUAAUAGACAAAUUAAAAUGAAAGAAAAGCUUCCUAGGAUGAUUCACUCAGAGGAGGUUCCAAGAAAGGGACAUUUAUCAUAAUGUACUAGUUUUACAUUAGAAUAUUCCACACAAAAGUACAAAUUUCUAAGUUAAUGUCACAAAUCUUCCUAAGGGAAUCCCAGUUUACAAAGAUUACAUUGAAACCAAGGUAAUUUGGGAUCAUAAAAACUG
rnacentral:lncRNA from 1 species